rnacentral:lncRNA from 10 species
AAAGUAAGCUGUACUGUUAUGAAAGAAUCCUGAAUCCACCAUUUACUAGGUGUCAUUUUGGAUCUGUUUGGAAAACGGAAGAGAAGAAACCUCGAUUAAACACAUCCUCAUUUCCUGUUCACUGAUUUACUAUAUCAUCCAUCAGAUUUUGUCAUCAAGCAUCUAAAACAACAUGCAAAAAAACCAAAGCAUACGCUUUUUAAGUUAAAAAAAUAGCAAUCUAUUACUAUUUUUUAAAAUCAGUAGCAGAAAGUUGAGUUAGGUAAGGACACAUUUGAUGAAGAAAGUUCUCUUAAAGCAAGCAGCACUGUUUCCAUUCCCCAUUACGAAGAUUUGAAAUGUAUGUCAGACCCACUCUUUUUUGCUCUGAUUUAUGUGACUUACUUGAUAGACAGCUCCCAGUCAAAUUGAGAUAUAUCAGUCAGAAUGAUUUUUGACAAAUUAGUACCAAUAUAAAAUUGAUUUCUUAUAUAUAACAUAGAAUUGUAUAAAAGAUGAAUUUUUAAAACAAUCAUAUAAUUUUUAUGAUAAUACAUCAAUGUUACUAGAAAUGACAACGUUCAUUUCACAUGGUCAGUUUUGUUAAAAGAAGAAAAUAGAGUAUAAAUUGAUUUUGUCUGUUUGCAAAAUCACAUUCUUUAAAAUGGUUAAAUCUAAAUUCUUUUGAGGUAAAGGACUGACAGUACUCUUAAUAUGGACUAUUGUCUUUAGAAAAUUACCCCUUACCUAUCCUACUCUGAAAAAUGUGGUGGAAUUUACAUUCAAAAAUGCAAAAUAAAAUUUAUAUGAUACUUUAUGCUAUAGAUUGAAUGUUUGUGACCCCCCAAAUUUAUAUGUUGAAAUUUAUCCCCAAUAUGAUAGUAUUUGGAGGUAGGGUCUUGGGAGAUUAUUUGGUUCUCAGAAUGAAGUGCUUGUGAAUGCUAUUAGCACCCUUACAAAAGAGACCCCAGAGAGAACCUCACCCAUUCUACCAUGUGAGGACACAGCAAAAAAUGUGCCAUUAAAAACCAGAAAGCGAGCCCUCACCAGAUAACAAAUCUGACAGUGCCUUGAUUUCGAACUUUCCGCCU